UAGGUUUUCACCCGAUGCCUCCCCGCAAGGCAUCCAUGCGGCGAUCCAUGGCCUCUGCGGCCAGAUCUCAGGCUCCGACCUCACCUCCAGUUUCCCAGCCUCCUCCCCCUCCUCCGACAAUGGUGGUUGGAGUGGAGCAAUUCGACCUACUGGUGCAGCAGGUCAGAGGCCUCACUAAAGCUGUACAGGCCAUUCAACAGCAGCAGCAGCCGUAGGCAUUAGUGUGAUUGG
rnacentral:lncRNA from 1 species